UUAUGGAGGUGGCUACUUCUAUAGUUAAGAGGUGUCAAGGUCUACCGCUAGCGAUUGUAUCUAUGGGAAGCCUGUUGUCCUCAAGGAAACAAACAGAAUAUGCCUGGAAUCAAACAUAUAGCCAACUUAGAAAUGAGAUGAUAAAAAAUGAUCAUGUCCGGGCGAUCCUAAAUCUGAGCUACCACGAUAUGCCAGGAGACCUAAGAAACUGCUUCUUGUAUUGCAGCAUGUUCCCUGAGGAUUACUCCAUGUCAAGGGAGAGCCUUGUGCGAUUAUGGGUUGCACAAGGCUUUGUAGUGAGAAAAGAUGGUAACAAACCAGAGGAUGUAGCUGAAGGAAAUCUCAUGGAACUCAUUCACCGUAAUAUGUUGGAAGUUGUUGAGAAUGAUGAGCUCAGCAGGGUGAGUACCUGUAAGAUGCAUGACAUUGUGCGCAACCUGGCUCUUGAUGUUGCUAAAGAGGAGAUGUUUGGCUCAGCAAGUGAUAAUGGCACAAUGACGCAGCUGGAU
rnacentral:lncRNA from 1 species